AUGUCCCAGCGCUCAGUGAGCAACUCUUGGAUCUGUCUUCCCCAUUCUGGCUUAUCUCACUUCACAUGACUCCUACAAGUUCCAGCCAAGAUGAGACAAGCACCCAGAGGAUACAGUUUCUUCCCACUCCUCGCCCAAGUUUCACUUCUGACCCCAUCUGCUUGGAGGAGCCUGGAGGGAGAUGGCAGGGAGGGAUGCUGGCACUCAGUCCUCACCGGUCAGUCCUCACACUGGUCCCGGUUGAACUGUGGGCCAAAGGGCUGAUAAAGAGGACCAUCUCCACUCUCUCAUCUGAAGGUCAGUUUACAUGUAUGAACAGGGACCUGUGACACUGUCCUUGUGGCCGUCAGAUGCGGCUCGGUGGCCUGUUCUGACCUGGGGUUUCUUGUGUGCUUCUGCGACUGUUGUCCUGGGCUGAAGUAUCUAUUUGCAAGAGGCUGCCUUUCUACCUGCAGGUGUACCACCGCAUGGUCCCCCUGCCUGUGAAUUUUGGAAAAGAGAGAAUUCCUCUAUGGGAGAGCAAUUAGAUGCCAACUUUUGAAAGAAGACAUGUGAAAGGCUGACAAGUCUAGGUGGAGCUGAGAGGCAGAGGGCAGUACUCUGCUCACCUCACCUUCAUCCUUUCCACGGCCGACAGCCUGGGAACCACAGGAGCUGGGGAGACGCCAGCCACCUGAGCUUUGAGGGCCAGGCAGAGACUGUGAGACACGGGACUCCACAGACCGGAACCUGCCCUGCUGCUAACUCACCUCCCCUCACCCUGCUUGUCUGGAUGCCCAGCACUGUCUGUGGCUCUCCACAGGCGACAUUCACCUGAGCACCUCACUCAGUACACUUUAGUUUUUCAAAAGCCACAAUGUAAACAGCUAAAAAGGACUGUGAGAAAGGGGCUGUGGGAAAGGGUAGAUUUAGGUGGCCAGGGAGACAGCAAGAGACUUUCAUGCCUUGGGCUCUGAGGCUCCGGAAUCAAUCCUAGGCACCACCAUAAAACAGAGCUGAGCAGUCCUUGGUGG